rnacentral:tRNA from 1 species
GUGGGUAUGGCUCAGUGGUAAAGCACAUGCUUAAGAUGCAUGAGGUCCUAGGUUCAAUCCUCAGUACUUCCA